UAAGUAAGCGGAGGAAAUUAAACCAAAUGGGAUUCCUUUAGUAAUUGCGAAUGAACAAGGAUAUGCUUAACUUGAUAAAUGGGGCUUUUGGCUUUGAAUUGUGUUUUUGAAAUGUAUUACCAACAGAGGUGCAGGUGUUCCCAUAUCGUAAGAAAGCGUCAAUGAGGGUGAGAAUCCUUCUUGUCAUGUGCAGUCCUUUGUGCCCGGUGUAUGUUCGCUGACUCACACUCCUUGGCAUUGAAAUGCAAAGUGGGUGGUAAGUCUCAUGUAAAGGUAAAUAUAUGAUUGAGACUGAUAGUGCACAAGUACCAUGAGGGAAAUAUGAAAAGGACUUUGAAAAGAGAAUUAAAUGACUUUGCAUUUGCUGAACAGAAAGUAAACACAUUUGAUUUUGCUGACUGAGAUUGAGGCGCUUGCUUUACACUCUAAUGUGGCUGUAAGUACCAUGAUUCUUGCUUUGUGUGCCAGUUUUACACAUUUGAACAUACUGGCGUAUGAAUGGUAAUAUUCCUGUGGGGGUUGGAAUGCAUGCGUAUGUAAGCAUUUGUGUUCUGAACUAUGUGUUUGGCGAUAUUGUGUGUGCGCCAUUUGUACCUCAGGGUGUUUUCUUCCUGGGUCAACAAGCCUUAACACAGAUUUGCUGGCAAAAUGCUUUUGCUUGACCCGUCUUGAAACACGUACCACGGAGUCUAGCGUAUGUGCGAGCUCCACGGGUUCAUACCUUUNUGUGUAAUGAAAAUAUUGGCUGGGAUAUGNGCCCCNGCACCCNCCUAAUUUUCAGGCAAAGGUUUGAGUUUGAGCAUAUUUAUUAGGACCCGAAAGAUGGUGAACUAUGCCUGAACAGNAUGAAGCCAGAGGAAACUCUGAUGGAGGNUCGUAUCGAUUCUGACGUGCAAAUCGUUCGUCAUAUUUGGGUAUAGGGGCGAAAGACUAAUCGAACCUUC
rnacentral:rRNA from 1 species